UACAGAGGUCCCAAGCGUUGUCCGGAAUCACUGGGCGUAAAGGGCGCGUAGGUGGCGCGGGCAGUCAACGGUGAAAGUUCGGGGCUCAACCCUGAAUCGGCCGUCGAUACUCCUGGGCUCGAGCACUGUAGAGGCAGAUGGAAUUCCGGGUGUAGCGGUGGAAUGCGUAGAGAUCCGGAAGAACACCGGUGGCGAAGGCGGUCUGCUGGGCAGUUGCUGGACACUGAGGCGCGACAGCGUGGGGAGCAA
rnacentral:rRNA from 1 species